rnacentral:tRNA from 2 species
GUUCUUGUAGUUGAAUAACAACGGUGGUUUUUCAAGUCAUUGGUUUAGGUUGAAGUCCUAGCAGGAAUU